rnacentral:lncRNA from 1 species
AUCUAUCUUGUGACCUUUCAGCUGUUCAGCAGUAAAACAGAAACUUAGAGAACUUACAAAAUAUGCAGAGGGUAGAUAUGGUUAAUAUUUCACAGAGAAGUAGUUAGUAUUCUUUCUUAACUCGUACUUUGGAAGGGGGCUAUUUGAGGCCUAUUCCAUCCUAACUCUAACAACAAUUUUUAAGCAAGCUUUAAUUUUCUUUUAAUUUUCUACUUCACAUUCCUUUUCUUUUCUCUAACCUUGUCUUCAUGUUUUAUUUCAGUAAGCUCUUCUUCAACCUCUAAUAUCCUUUCUUCCACCUGAUUAAUCUGGAUAUUGAUACUUGUGUAUGCUUCACAAAGGUUUUAGCACUGUUUUUCAGCUCCUUCAGGUCAUUUAUAUUCUUCUCUAAACUGGGUAUUCUAGUUAGCAAUUUCUGUCACCUUUUAUAAAGGUUCUUAGCUUUCUUGCAUUGGGUUAGCACAUGUUCCUUUAAUUCAGAGGAGUUUUUUAUUACCCACCUUCUGAAGUCUACUUCUAUCAACUCAUGAAACUCAUUCCCCAUCCAGUUUUCUGCCCUUGCUGGAGAGGAAUUUCAAUCAUUUGGAGAAGAUGAGGUCUGCUGCAGUUUGCGGGAGGUCCACUCCAGACCCUGUUUGCCUGGGUGUCACCAGUGGAGGCUGCAGAACAGAAAGGAUUGCCACCUGCUCCUUCCUCUGGAAGCUUCAUCCCAGAGGGACACUGGCCUGAUGCCAGCCACAGCUCUCCUGUACAAGGUGUCUGUCUACUCCUGUUUGGUGGUAUCUCCCAGUUAGGAGUCAUGGGUGUCAGGGACCUACUUGAGCAGGUAGUCUGUCCCUUAGCAGAGCUGGAGCACUGUGCUGGGAGAAUCCUUCUUGACAGAUGCUGCUCUCUUCAGAGAUGGCAGGCAAGAAUAUUUAAGUAUGCUGUUGCUGGGCACAUAGCCAGCCCUUUCCCCAUGUGCUCUUUUUCCACGGAGAUGGGAGUUUGUCUAUAAUCCCUUGAAUGGGGCUACUGCCUUUCUUUCAGAGAUGCCCUCCCUAGUGAGGAGGAAUCUAGAGAGUCAGUCUGGCCACAGCCGCUUUGACAUGCUUUGGUGAAUUCUGCCCAGUAUGAACUUCCUAGCCUCCUUAGCACUGUCAGGGGAAAACUGUCUACUCCAUCCUCAGUAAUGGUGGAUGCCUCUUCCCCAACCAAGCCUGAUCAUCCCAGGUUGACUUCAUGCUGCUCUGUUGGCAGCAAGAAUUUCAAGCCAGUGGUUCUUAGGGUGCUGACUCCAUGGGAGUGGGACCCACUGAGCAAGACCACUUGGCUCUCUGGCUUUAGCCCUCUUUCCAGGGGAGUAAAUGGUUCUCUCACUGGGGUUCCAGGUUCCACUGGGAAAAACAAACAGACAGACAAACAAACAGCAACAACAAAAACAAAAAAGCUGAAGCUAGCUUGGUGUCUACAGCCACCCAGUUUUAUGCUUGAAACCGAGGGCCCUGGUGGUGUAAGCACACAAGGGAAUUUUCUGCUCUCUAGAUUGAAGAUCCCAUGGGAAAACUGUAGUAUCUGGGCCAGGUAGCACAGUGUUUCAUGGCUUCCUUGGUAGGGCAGAGAUUGGUUCCUGGCUUCUUGUACUUCUCUGGUGAGAUAAUGCCCUCUCUUGCUUUCUGCUCACUGUCCAUAGGCUUCGCCCACUGCCUAAACAUUCCCAAUGAGAUUAACUGGGUACCUCCUUUGUAAAUGUAGAGAUUAUCCAUUCACUUUCUGCAUUGGUCUCAAUGGAAGCAGCAAACUGGAGCUGUUCCUAUGUGGCCAUCUUGUCAGAUCUCCCUGUAAUUCUUGUCUUAUUAAAUUGUCUUAACAGAAUUAUCCACUGACAAUGUCAAUGUAUCAGAAAUAUAUGAGUUUAUUUAUUUGUUAAUUUUUCAUUCAACUACAUAUUUCUUUGUGUACACACUUUGAGUAGUUCUUCAUUUAAAUAAUUGUAGUUAUUUAGUAAUACUUAGUAAUAUUAGCAGUAAAGAAAUAUGAACAAGAGUUUCUUUUCUUCUCAACAAUUUUGGCUAACCAGACAUCAAUAUAAAUUUUAUAAGAUAAUUUUUUAGUUCUGCAAUGGAGAAACAAAUUAGAGAUUGACAGAUUUAUAUAAAAUUUAAAAUAAAAAUUUUCAAUUCUGCACAGAAAAGUACAGCAAUAUGCUAGAAAAAUAUUAAGUUUGCAAAUAAAUUUGAAAAAAGAUUUGCACUUUAAACAUGUUAAAUCUUAGAAUUUGGGAUCCAAAUACAUUGUUCUACAUUUAGUUCUUUUUUAUACUUCAUAUAAUAUUUUGUACUUUUAGUAUACAAUUAUCACAACAUGUAUACAUUUUUAAUAUUGAUUUUAUUAUUUUUGUGUUAUUCUAAAUAAAAUUAUCUCUAUAGUUUUGUUUCCAUAUUGUAGAUUACUAGAGUUUAGAAACAUUUCAUUUAGGUGUUGAUUUUUAAUACUUGUAUCUAUGCAUUAAAAUAUGCAAAAUUUAUAUGAACGUAAUUUAUAUUACUUUUUACAUUUUUUUCUAAUGACUUAGGCUAGAAGUUCCAAGGCAAAGUUAAGUGAAAGUAAAAAAAACAACGCAUCCUCAUUCCACAUCUUAUUUAAAAGUAAGCUUCCACUUAGCACUACUGAAGAAAAGAAUACCUGUGAAUUAUAGUGCUCUCUAUGAGAGAGGAAAUUUUCCUUUCAUUUCUAGUUUAUUUACUUUUAAUAAUAAAUGUUAUAUUUUUUGAAAAUGUUUGUUGUAUAAGCUAUGAUUAUACUGUUCCUUAUUAUAUUCUUAUUCUGCAUUGCAUUUAUUGGUUUUAUAACUAAUUUGUUAUAAAUUAUUUAGGUACGUGACUCUUUUGGAAGGUAUGUAAGCCUUGAGGUGUUGAUGGAUUUUAAUUGUUAAGCAUCCAAUGUGAUUCUUUAUUGACAAAAUGUAUCUGGGUAUGCAUUUAUUAACUCUGCAUUUUAUAUGUUAUUUAUUUAUUUAAUUUUUGCUAAGUUCAGAGAAUAGAGUAUACAUGCAGGUGUGUUACAUGGGUAUGUUGUGUACUAUUGAGUUUUGGCCUUUAGUGUGCCCAUCACUCAAUUACUAAAUGUUGUUUUGAAUACUUUUUAACUCCCACUUUCCUUCUGUACUCUCCUUUUUUGAUGUCUCUAGUGUUUAUUAUAUCCCUCUAUAUGGCCAUGUGUACUCAUCGUUCACCUUCCACUUACAUGUAAAAACAUAUGAAUGUUGCAUAUGCUGAGAAGAAUGUGUAUUCUACAGAUGCUGGAGGAAAUGUUCUGCAAAUAUCUAUUACAUUUAUUUGCCCUAUUGUAUAAAGUAAUGAUUGUGAUUCUUUUUAAAUUUUUAUUCUAGAUUAUCUGCCUUCUAGAUAAUGAAAUUGUAAAAGUCUGUUUUGUGAUAAAAAUGUCUUGAAGCCUUCAGCUGAUCUUUAGGAUUUUACUCUAUUGUUUAAAAUGUAUAAAUUUAAGUGUACAAUGCAAUUUUAUUACAUGAUCAUAUUGUGUAGUGAUAAAGUCAUGGUUUUAGUGUAUUAAUCAUCUGAAUAAUGUACAUUGUACUCAUUAAGUAUGUCUCAUCAACCAAGCUCUUUCCAUCCUUCCACAUUUCUGACUCUCCAAUGUGUAUCAUUCUAUACUUUAUGCCCAUGCUUACAAUAUUGUGAAUAUACAGUAUUUGACUUUAUGUUUCCAAGUUUGUUUGUUUUAGAUCAUGGCCUCCAGUUUUAUACAUGUCAAUAGAGAGGACAUGACUUUAUUCUUUUCUAUAAUGAAAUUGUAUUUUAUUAUGUUUAUGUAGCAUAUUUGUUUAAUCUAAUUAUAUGGUGAUAAUCAGUUUAGGUAAUUCUAUUGUUUUACUACUGUGAAUAAUGCUGCAAUACUUAUAUGAUAUGUAUUUUAUAUAAUGAUUUUAAUAUCUUUGAUAGAUACCCAGUAGUGGGAUUGCUGGAACAAGUGGUACUUACAGUUUUAGUUCUUUGAUAAAUAACCAUUCUGUUUUUCAUAGAGCUUAUACUAAUCUAUAUUCCCACCAACAGUAUUAAGCAUUCUUUCUUAGCAUCCUCAUCAUCUGUUUUUCUUUUUAUGUAAUAGCCAUUUUGAGUGGUGUAAUAUGAUAUCUAUCUUACGGUGGUUUUAGUUUGCAUUUCUUUGAUCAUUAGUGAUGUUGAACAUUGGCUUAUAUGCAUGCUGGCCUUUGGAUGUCUUCUUUUGAUAAAUGACUAUUCAUAUUAUUAAUAGCUUUUAUUAUCCUUUCAAAACUUAAAUUUUGGUUUUCACAAACACAUGAAGGUUUCUUACACAGUUAAACUCAGGUCAUAGGGAUGAGUUGUAAAGAUUAUUUCAUCACCUGGAAAUUAAGCCCAAUACCCAAUAGUUAUCUUUUCUGCUUGUCUCCCUUUUUCUUCCCACCAUCCUCAAGUAGACCCCACUGUCUGUUAUUUCCUUCUUUGUUUUAACAAGUAUUACUUAGCCCUAACCUUUGAUGAAAACUAUUGGUUUUCUCUUCCAGCAUUAGCUUACUCAGAUUAAUACCCUCCAUCUCCAUCCAUGUGCCUGCAAAAAAAAAACAUAAUCUUGCUUUUUUAUAUGUAUAUUGGCAUAGUAUUCCAUGGUAUAUAUAUGCCAUAUUGCUUUAUUCUAUCAUUAAUGAACAUUUAUAUUAAUAUCAUGUCUUUGCUAUUGUAAAUACUGCUGCUAUGAAUAUUCAUGUGUAUGUCUCUGUGUGGUAGGAUGAUUUAUGUAUCAUCCUUUGGUACACACUUAGUCAUAAAAUUGCUUAGCCAAAUGGUAGUUCUGCUUUUAGCCUUUUGCAGAAUCACAAUACUGCUUUCCACAAUGCUUGAACUAAUUUAUGCACCCACAAACAGUGUAUAUAUGUUUCCCUUUCUCUGCAGUCUUGCCAGCAUCUGUUACUAUUUCACUUUUUAGUAAUAGCUUUUCUGACAGCUGUGAGAUUGUAUCUUAUUGUGGUUUUGAUUUGCAUUUAUCUAAUCAUCACUGAUAUUGAGCUUUUUUUAUACAUGAUUAUUGGCAGCAUGUAUGUCUUCUUUUAAAAAAAAUCUGUUCAUGUCCUUUUCCCAUUUUUAAUGGGGUUUUCUAUUGGAAUUGUGUUAAAGUUCUUUAUAGAUGUUGGGUAUUAGACUUUUUCAGAUGCAUAGUUUGCAAAAUUUUUCAGAUUUUUGUCAGAUGCACAGGUUGCAAAAUUUUCUCCCAUUCUGUAGGUUGUCUGUGUACUCUGUUGAUAGUUUCUUUUGCUGUACAAAGUAACAUUUUAAUGGUUUUAUUUGUUUUUCCUGUUGCUUGAGUUUAUUAUAUAUUCUAGAUAUCAGUGUAUUUCUUUUGUUUCUACCCUGACCUUUGUAAUUUAUAAUUUUCUACACAUUGUGAGUAGUUUCAUUUUGUUUUCCUAAAACUCUGAGUUGUCUUAUUUGACUUUUUAGAGCUUUUUACUUUUAAGUGUUGGAAUUUGUUGCUAUCAACUUUUCUAUUUUAGCGAUAUUUGAUUUUUCUUUUUAAUUUUAUAUAUUGUGUUUACUUUUUUAUUUGUCUCAACAUUUAAACAUUUUUAUUUUUACUUUUUUUGGUUCAUUGAUUUUUCAGGAGCAUGCUAUUUAAUUUUUACAUAUCUGUAAAUUUC